AUUGAACGCUGGCGGUAUGCCUUACACAUGCAAGUCGAACGGUAGAGGGGCAACCCUCGAGAGUGGCGAACGGGUGAGUAAUACAUCGGAACGUGCCCAGUCGUGGGGGAUAACGUAGCGAAAGCUACGCUAAUACCGCAUACGACCCGAGGGUGAAAGCGGGGGACCUGCAAGGGCCUCGCGCGAUUGGAGCGGCCGAUGGCAGAUUAGGUAGUUGGUGGGGUAAAGGCCCACCAAGCCUGCGAUCUGUAGCUGGUCUGAGAGGACGACCAGCCACACUGGGACUGAGACACGGCCCAGACUCCUACGGGAGGCAGCAGUGGGGAAUUUUGGACAAUGGGCGAAGGCCUGAUCCAGCCAUACCGCGUGCGGGAAGAAGGCCUUCGGGUUGUAAACCGCUUUUGUCAGGGAAGAAAUCUUCCGGGUUAAUACCUCGGGGGGAUGACGGUACCUGAAGAAUAAGCACCGGCUAACUACGUGCCAGCCGCCGCGGUAAGAC
rnacentral:rRNA from 1 species